rnacentral:lncRNA from 1 species
AAUUUCCCCAUUGUCUUCUCAUUUUAAGGGUUUUUUCCGAUUUUUAUUAGGAUGUGUUUAUAGAAUUUUCUAACUCCAAUCUCUAAUUUUUCUUAUCAAAUGGGAGAGACUGAAGUUCCGAAAUGUUUGAUUGCUGCCGGGGAAAAACCUCUUGGGGAAAGAGUCAAUGUCUAUCACAAAAUUAAAACCCUCGGCGGCAUUAUAGACGCUUUGGAUGAAGAUGAACGAUUGUCUAUUGCAGGUACUUCGCUCGGUCGGAUUUUGUCCUCUUCGGUCUUUUUCAACAUAAUUUAUGAAUGCUAACAUAUAAGUUAAUUAACAACAUAUAUAUGAAUGCUAGCAUAUAUGUUAAACAUAAUAAUUAAAUUAUCAUGAUAAUAAAUAUGUUAAUGUAUAAGUUGGUUGAUACUAUUCAUAUGAUAAAUGAUUUAGCACGAUAAAUAUAAGUUUACCAUAUAAAUUAUAAAUGUAUCGCGAUACAAUAUUAUAUACACUGUUAAUUAAAUAAAUAACCACAAAAGACAUUGUUUUUUUUAUUGUUUCCGGUGAUGAAUAGUAUUUCCGACGUUGGAUAAAUAAUCUUUACUUUUUUCUUAGAUCUAAACUCGUUACCUCGUAAUUGUUUUAUUAGCGCAUAAAAAUGAUAUUUUAGGUCUUAUUUGAGUCAAAAGAGACAGAACUAAUAAAAAAACAAAAGUCUGAUUCUUAAUAUUUUGCAUUAAAUGCUCGUUAUCUUGCGUAAGAACGCUAUCGAUUUUCUGUCGUGUAGGGGCAGUUCCGUCUUUCUUUAUUUGCAACAAAAUAUCCACUUAAAUAACGAAUGUUCAUGUAUACAUUCUUAAUUAUUUUUCCUUCCAGGUAUAUAUAUUUCAUUCACCUUUUUUUAAUAAUCUUCUAUAUUGUCAUUUGACAAAUUAACUAUAUAUUUAAUCAUUUUUUUUGUUUGUACGGGCACGAAAGCAAACCCCCCUCCCCCCUCUGCCACAAAUAAUAACGUAGACUCUCCAGCGUUAUGUGCAAUGCGGUCAUUAACCUAGGUCACUCGUCUUAUUGAUCGCGAGUCGACCUGUCCGAGUAAAUUAUUUAUUUAAUCAAUAUGGUAAGGAAAAUAUUACUGUCUAUGCUCAGACAAUCAAAUAAUUAAGUAUGUAUGCAUUUUUUUCUUUUAAUUAAGUAGACAAGAGAGAUUGAUCUUUUGACAUUUUUACCCUUUCCUUCUACACACCUAAUUACUUAUCUGAUUAUUAUUUUUGUUAGCGCUUACACAAAAUAAAGUGAAAAUGAAAGUGAAAAUGGAGAGGACGAAAAGGUGGGGAAAGAAUUUGGGGAUGAAAAUUAUUGGUUUUUAGUUUAAAAUGAAAAUGGAGAGGACGAAGAGGUGGGGAAAGAAGAAGAAGAAGAGAGAAAGUGAUGAGGUGAACUUGGGAUGAAGUUGCAGGUGCGAUGGAAGAAGAAGAAAAUUUGGCAGACAUGAUGACGGAGGAAGAUACUCGAGAAGAGAAGAACAUUUUUUUUAACGUCCAUGAUAACAGAUAAGUUAACCGUGAUAAACAAAUUAUCAUGAUAGAUAAAUAUGCUAAUGCAUAAGUUAACGG